rnacentral:rRNA from 1 species
UACGUAGGGUGCAAGCGUUGUCCGGAAUUAUUGGGCGUAAAGAGCUCGUAGGCGGUCUGUCACGUCGGCUGUGAAAACCCGAGGCUCAACCUCGGGCCUGCAGUCGAUACGGGCAGACUAGAGUUCGGUAGGGGAGACUGGAAUUCCUGGUGUAGCGGUGAAAUGCGCAGAUAUCAGGAGGAACACCGGUGGCGAAGGCGGGUCUCUGGGCCGAAACUGACGCUGAGGAGCGAAAGCGUGGGGAGCGAACGGG